AACAUAUAUGCGCAGCUGACCGUAGAGUAGUAUAGUUGUCUAUCGAUGCCUCGCGUAGCGAAGUGCGCACUUCGCCCUUAGGUGUGUGCGAGCAAAAGGGGAACGGGAGCCAAGCGUCUGCAGCGCACAAGUUGCCUCUGCUGCAAACAUUCCGGCAUUGCAAACUGCAUUCUGGAUCAGAAAGUGCGGCGUGGUUACGGCUGUUUUCUGAUAAGCGGACCAUGAAAGUAAUACUGUUUGUGCUGCUGCUGAUUUCGGCAACUGAACUCACAAAAGGGUCAGGGACAGAGAGCAGCGGUACGCAAUGCACUGAUAACGGUCAAUGCAAUUCCGGCAACGAAACUAAGCGAGUAGCUUGGUUCGCGAAUUAUAGCGACACAUCCUGCUAUAAUAUUUCUGUCGCCGGCUGUCCUGGAGCUGGUAUGAGGAGUCUUUAUGACUGUUUGACGUUUUGCUUUUAUAGCUAAUAAGGCGGAAUUGCUGAAACUUUCCUCGUCAAGCAAUGGAGAAUGACUCCUCCAUGCCGUAUUCUACGUAUUCUUCAAACCGCUAGGUUCCAGACUGUAUAAAACUUCACAUCCAAUUUCCAUUUUUUGUCUUGCUCUGUUUCUGGGCUUUUUUCAUCAGAAACUGACAAAAAUAAUUUUCGUCGACUACUCAUUAUUUUGUGUUACCCCUUGAAACGCUUGCGUUGAAGCAAGAUACUUUGGUAUGAUUUUUGCUUCCUCUCAUUAUCUUCCAUUGAAAACUUACGUGUCACAGCUGUCGGCAUGCUAUGUAUGUAGUACAUGCAGCUAAUGUUUGUGUUGAAUCCUUAGUAAUACGUCCACCUUUAGUAUACUCGCUUUCCUUUUUUUGUGUGUGUAUGUGUUCUGCUUUGUUCCUUUAUCAAAGAAAACCUUUUUGAUUUCCUUCCUUCCUUUUAUACAUAAUUUUUACUGAUCGCAAAGCACAAGAGAAGGGACAAAAGAACGAGGACGCCCUUGUCACUUAUCUUAUGUAUUGCGCUCAGUGCAAUUAAAUGUGGUUUGAUCCAACUAGCCCAACUCGCAACUCUAUUUUAUACCCAAGAAAAAAACGAAUCGUAUUUUGGCAGUCAUAUGAAAAUAAUAAUAAAUGGCAUUAUAAUGAA